CAUGAUCUAAAAUGGAGUCCAAUAGGCAGUAACAAACACUGCAGCUUUUCUUACUUUCAGAGUGAUCUCUGCAAAAAAAUUAUAGCAAGAGGGCUUGGAGGAGCACCCUUGUGGACAGAAUGGAAAGGGAGAGUGUAUAGAGGAGAAAUGUGCAGCAAAAGGGAAGAGACAGGCAGCAGGACAUGGUAGUACUUUUCAAGCACCAGAUGGAUAUGCUGGAGACUAUUACAGACCCUCAGGCCCAGAACCAGCACACAACUGUCUGCAACUGCUCCGUGAAUGCCAGCAACAACCUUGAAUUGAAUCUUUCUGUGUCUAUGCAAGUCAGCCUACAAGGUAUCGUCAUAUCCCUCCUGGCUCCUCUGGCAGCUCUGAAGGACCAGGAGGAAAAACAUAAGGAUUGAUUGGAACACUGACAAAAGACCACAUCAAAACAAACCCAAACCAUUUAUCAUCUUUUCCCCAUGAUCUGUUUCCUGUGACCCUGUUAGCCUUUUGUAACAGCUGAAUAAAGGCCAAGUGUAUUACAUCAUGAAAGCCCAGAAAGCCCCUCCAACUUCAUGCAGAAGAAAAUGCAGUAUUAAAUUAUGCAGGAGGACUUCAGGAGACACUUAGGCUCCGAUUUAGACCAUCUGCUUGUCAAAUGUCUUGUCAGUAUAUCUUCAUAUUAACAAAAGCUUUUUCAUCAUGAGUGAUAGGUCUGAUGACUGAACAAGACAAAGAAGUGCCAGUGAUACUGAUGUAUCCCCAAAGGUUCUGCCAGUGAUUAAAUACAAGUUUGAAUUUAGCUGAUGUCAGAGUUGUUGUGACUUUCCAAACCUGGAAAAUAAACACUUGCACAGACACAAUUCUCUCCCUCUCUUCCCCCCAAAAAGAAGAGACCACUGUGAAAAUGCACCGGUGGUUUAUUAAAUGAAAUGCACAAGCACCUACUUUGUAAGUAUAUUUACACUUUUUCCAAAAUAAAAAGUUUGCAGUUCUGUACGUAAAACUCAAGAACACACAAUCAAGUCUCCCUGUCGACUUACUAGUUAUAGGUUUAACUGUUUUAUACCUGCCCCAUUUUUGCCAACUCAUUUGCUUUUCCCACACUUAGCUUAUUAAGAAGUUUUGAUCAAAUCAAUUCGAAUAUGUUAAACACAAUGGAUGCUGAACUGGCUGUACAAGCUAUAGAUCAUAUUAAAAAUUGAAAACAUUUUGAAUUCCUGUCUGAUUUUUAAUUCCACAAUUUUCCACCAUUUUGAUACAAACACAAUAACCUCUGUCACAAACAGAUGGGAUAGAAAUCUGACUCCCAUUGUAAAUGUGAGAAGAGAAGAAAAGUUCAGAGUCCCCAAAGAACAAAUUUUCUUCUUCCAAUUCUUCAUUCAGCAUCAGGCUUUAUAUUUGGAGUCAGACACAUUCAUUAACUAAUGGAAAGAUUCUAUAACUUUUCUCCCAUUUUUCAAUUUUGUCCUUGUGUGGUUUGUCCUUUGUUAAUUAUACCAAGCCAGUUUCCCACUGAAACUGUGACAUCAGCAUCAUUGGCCCAUAAUCUCCCAUUCCUCCUUCAAUUGCCUUUGACAAUGGAGUACCUCUCUGUAGGGUCCAUUGUUUGUGUGUAAAAUGUCCCUGUGUAAUCAGCAAAGUCAUCCCCGUGCUCAGGGAAAUAUUUAAUAUACGUAUGGUAGUUGGAUGCAAGAGGAGAGAUGAUUCUUCUUGAGAAUUCCACUGUGUGUCAUUUGGAAGCUGGAACAUCAGUUCUCCUCUUUCAUUCAACCAACCAUGAGGGAUGUAGAAGAAUGUUCUUUUUUUAACUUCCACAAUGUGUUUUAUGACUGUUGGAGAUGUUCUUUCUCAAUUAAGCUUAAAUAGGUGGCUGAGCACCCAGGGGUCAGAAGUUUAGGAUGAUGAUUGCACCUGAGAAUCUCCCUUUUUUCUUUUAUUAUUGUUGUCUGAGCAAAUAGUAAAGCCCUUCAUCGUCAUAUUUUUCUGUGCGUUCUUGGGUGGCAUCUUCAAAAACUUGGCCACAAUAUUUUGUGGUUUUCUAUUUAGAUACAAUAUCAAUAGUUUGAAGAUGGAAUGUGGUGUUGUUUUUUCCAUGUGGAUGCUUGUAGCCAGUACUAGGUCCUUUCUCAUGUUUGAACUUUUCUGAGUUACUGUCAAUGUUGAUUCUUUUAGGUCUUCCUUUUAAUAUUUCCUGUUUCUUUGCUUGCUGAAUCUAAUUAUGGACCUCAACAUUUAAGCCUCCUCAGUGACUACUAUUCUAAUUACAGUAGCAAAUUCAAAUACUGGUUAGUUUCAGAACUGAUCAUAAUGAUCCUGAAGAAAUCCAUGCAUAUAGAAACUCUAAAUUAUGUUUUGAUGCUAUUUCAGAGCCAUUAAAAUAUGAAAAUAAUUGUAAUCAUCCCAUUAAUCUCAUUAAGAUGUAGAUGUUCAAAUUAAACAUAUUGAUUAGACUUCUCUCCAGUUCAGAGCUCUCAUGUAUGGGUGAAUUAGUUUAGGAAAAGAGUCAGCAGAGCACUAAUUGUGCCUAUUCAUGGAGUCUUUACCCAAGAAAAACUCAUACUGAUGUUCAACCAGAUCUAUUUAAAACCUUUUUCUAACAUCACUGUUUUUCUAGGUAUGAUUUUAUAGUUCAGAGUCCUCCUAUAUGUGAAAUGCUUUGUCUCUCUCUCUCCCACACUGAGUAACACUAAAUUUCCAACUGGCAUCCAAGAUUUGUUUUUAAACUAUAUGGCCUGAAAAAGUUUGGGAUCUGGUUACCUGCAAGAUGGCUUUUCUCCCUAUGACGUACUGCUAUAGCUGCAAUCAGUAGAGGCACUUCAGCUGCCUCUUCCUCCAUUUAAAUCACUGGGAGCUGCUGGUUAGGCUUUCUUCAUUGAUGGGUCCUCAUUUAUGGAUCUUGCUCCCCAGUUUGGUCUAUUAGAACCUGGAUUUGAUAACUAUCUUGGCGUGUUGUGCGGCCUAUUAUUUAUUCCAGGUAUUUGGGGAGGUGAUAGAUGACACAGUAGGAUUUUAAGGGGAUAGAGGAGUGGUUGUUUGCUAUAAAAAUGUUAAUUUUAAUUUGUGAAGCUCCUAGAAUCUAAGUGACAUGUAGCUACAGCAAUAAGUAUACAACUGUUUACUCCUGAGGGCAUUCUGCGCCAAAAAAAA